GACGAACGCUGGCGGCGUGCUUAACACAUGCAAGUCGAGCGGUAAGGCCCUUUCGGGGGUACGACGAGCGGCGAACGGGUGAGUAACACGUGGGUGGACCUGCCCUCCAGCUCUGGGAGUAAGCCUGGGAAACCGGGUCUAAUACUGGAUAUGACUCCAUGACGCAUGUUGUGGGGUGGAAAGCCUUGUGCGGCUGAGGAUGGGCCCGCGGCCUAUCAGCUUGUUGGUGGGGNGANGGCCUACCAAGGCGACGACGGGUAGCCGGCCUGAGAGGCGACCGGCCACACUGGGACUGAGACACGGCCCAGACU
rnacentral:rRNA from 1 species